rnacentral:rRNA from 1 species
AUUGAACGCUGGCGGCAGGCCUAACACAUGCAAGUCGAACGAGUGGCGGACGGGUGAGUAAUGUCUGGGAAACUGCCUGAUGGAGGGGGAUAACUACUGGAAACGGUAGCUAAUACCGCAUACCAUCAGAUGUGCCCCGGUGGGAUUAGCUUGUUGGUGGGGUAACGGCUCACCAAGGCGACGAUCCCUAUCUGGUCUGAGGGGAUGACCACCCACCCGGGAACUGAGACAUGGUCCAUACUCCUACGGGAGGCAGCAGUGGGGAAUAGUGCACAAUGGGCGGAAGCCUUAUGCAGCCAUGCCGCGUGUAUGAAGGAGGCCUUCGGUUUGUAAAGUACUUUCAGCGGGGAGGCGUUACCCGCAGAAGAAGCACCGGCUAACUCCGUGCCAGCCGCCGCGGUAAUUC